rnacentral:rRNA from 1 species
GACGAACGCUGGCGGCGUGCUUAACACAUGCAAGUCGAACGGAAAGGCCCUGCUUUUGUGGGGUGCUCGAGUGGCGAACGGGUGAGUAACACGUGAGUAACCUGCCCUUGACUUUGGGAUAACUUCAGGAAACUGGGGCUAAUACCGGAUAGGAGCUCCUGCUGCAUGGUGGGGGUUGGAAAGUUUCGGCGGUUGGGGAUGGACUCGCGGCUUAUCAGCUUGUUGGUGGGGUAGUGGCUUACCAAGGCUUUGACGGAUAGCCGGCCUGGGAGGGUGACCGGCCACAUUGGGACUGAGAUACGGCCCAGACUCCUACGGGAGGCAGCAGUGGGGAAUAUUGCACAAUGGGCGGAAGCCUGAUGCAGCAACGCCGCGUGCGGGAUGACGGCCUUCGGGUUGUAAACCGCUUUCGCCUGUGACGAAGCGUGAGUGACGGUAAUGGGUAAAGAAGCACCGGCUAACUACGUG